GGAAUCAACAGCAGGAAUCUGGGUGCAUUGUGACAGGGUCACAAAACUUGUGGUCUUCCUACAAACAAAUACCCAACACAC
rnacentral:snoRNA from 1 species